CUGCGCAGAAAGAGAGAUUGAUUCAGAAAUGGGCAUGUGACUCAGUUUGGGCCAAUGAAAUGCAAAGAAAAGUGUGCGUUUGUGUAGCUUUCUGGGAGAUUCUUUGCUGCGAGAGCUGGGGAGCGUCCCUCUGUCCUGCUGUAGGGAAUGAGGACCCAGGCAGUUCUCUGAAACUGGAGUUGCUGCUGAUGCUGCAGCACCGUCAUGCCUCCAGGACCUCACCAAGCUGUUCCAUCCACCUGGCCAGAAGCCCCUGUCCUCUGGACUUCCUAUCUGUCCAGAAUGAAGAGCUCCCCGCUGCCUGCUUACCUCUGAGCCGCUCCCCCGGCACUGCUCCUCUGCUGCCUCUACGCCCCCAAGCGCGGCGAUAACAAGACGAGGACGGAGGAGAACAAACAGCCCGGUCACACAGAAUCCAGAGGAGGCCGUUCACACCAAGAUCUUCAUAUUUGCAGCUAGUCC